rnacentral:rRNA from 1 species
CCCUUAGAUGUUCUGGGCCGCACGCGCGCUACACUGACGAAGUCAGCGAGCAUGUCCUACGCCGACAGGUGCGGGGAAUCUUGUCAAACUUCGUCGUGAUGGGGAUAGAAUAUUGUAAUUAUUACUCUUCAACGAGGAAUUCCUAGUAAGCGCCAGUCAGCAGCUUGCGCUGAUUACGUCCCUGCCCUUUGUACACACCGCCCGUCGCUCCUACCGAUGGGUGAUCCGGUGAAUGAUUCGGACUUCAGCGGCUCCCCUGGGGUGCGCCGGAGAAAGUUUUGUGAACCUUAUCACUUGGAGGAAGGAGAAGUCGUAACA